AUUGAACGCUGGCGGCAGGCCUAACACAUGCAAGUCGAGCGAGCGGCGGACGGGUGAGUAAUGUCUGGGAAACUGCCUGAUGGAGGGGGAUAACUACUGGAAACGGUAGCUAAUACCGCAUACCAUCAGAAGUGCCCAGUGGGGAUUAGCUAGUAGGUGUGGUAACGGCGCACCUAGGCGACGAUCCCUAGCUGGUCUGAGAGGGUGACCAGCCACACUGGAACUGAGACACGGUCCAGACUCCUACGGGAGGCAGCAGUGGGGAAUAUUGCACAAUGGGCGAAAGCCUGAUGCAGCAAUGCCGCGUGUGUGAGGAAGGCCUUCGGGUUGUAAAGCACUUUCAGCGGGGAGGCGUUACCCGAAGAGGAAGCACCGGCUAACUCCGUGCCAGCAGCCGCGGUAAUUG
rnacentral:rRNA from 1 species